UGUCCUGUACUAUACCAGCUAAGGGACCAACAGGGCCAAGUUGCUGAGACAACCUCAGGAGGCUCGGGGGUCCAGCCAGACAUGGUCAUUUUUCCCCCUUGGUAAAAUUCAAAGAGAAUCCAACUCUUCAGCACCAUAAGCCCUGACUUGCAAGGAUGCAGAAAUGCCUAUGUAGGGAACUGGCUCUGGAAAUGGAGGUCAGGUUCAAGGAGAACAGAGUGGGUCCUACAGAGAGAAGCUUAUGACAUCAUCACAACCAACCAUAGUCAAGGAGGGCUGAUUCUGUUUGCGAAACAUUUU